UAGGGAAUCUUCCACAAUGGGCGAAAGCCUGGUGGAGCAACGCCGCGUGUGUGAUGAAGGGUUUCGGCUCGUAAAACACUGUUGUAAGAGAAGAAUGACAUUGAGAGUAACUGUUCAAUGUGUGACGGUAUCUUACCAGAAAGGAACGGCUAAAUACGUGCCAG
rnacentral:rRNA from 1 species